rnacentral:rRNA from 1 species
CAGUAGCCGCGGGAAUACAGAGGGUGCGAGCGUUAUCCGGAAUUAUUGGGCGUAAAGAGCUCGUAGGCGGUUUGUCGCGUCUGCUGUGAAAACUGGAGGCUCAACCUCCAGCCUGCAGUGGGUACGGGCAAACUAGAGUGCGGUAGGGGAGAUUGGAAUUCCUGGUGUAGCGGUGGAAUGCGCAGAUAUCAGGAGGAACACCGAUGGCGAAGGCAGAUCUCUGGGCCGUAACUGACGCUGAGGAGCGAAAGCAUGGGGAGCGAACAGGAUUAGAUACCCGCGUAGUCCCUGUCUCUUAUAC